rnacentral:rRNA from 1 species
GGGGGAACGCGAAGAACCUUACCAGGUCUUGACAUCCUCUGACAACCCUAGAGAUAGGGCUUUCCCUUCGGGGACAGAGUGACAGGUGGUGCAUGGUUGUCGUCAGCUCGUGUCGUGAGAUGUUGGGUUAAGUCCCGCAACGAGCGCAACCCUUGAUCUUAGUUGCCAGCAUUCAGUUGGGCACUCUAAGGUGACUACCGGUGACAAACCGGAGGAAGGUGGGGAUGACGUCAAAUCAUCAUGCCCCUUAUGACCUGGG